rnacentral:rRNA from 1 species
AACGAACGCUGGCGGCAUGCCUAACACAUGCAAGUCGAACGCUCCGCAAGGGGAGUGGCGAACGGGUGAGUAACGCGUGGGAACCUGCCCAGUAGUUGGGGAUAACCGCGGGAAACUGCGGCUAAUACCGAAUACGCCCUAAGGGGGAAAGAUUUAUCGCUAUUGGAGGGGCCCGCGUCGGAUUAGCUGGUUGGUGAGGUAACGGCUCACCAAGGCGACGAUCCGUAGCUGGUCUGAGAGGAUGAUCAGCCACACUGGGACUUAGACACGGCCCAGACUCCUACGGGAGGCAGCAGUGGGGAAUAUUGGACAAGUGGGGGCAACCCUGAUCCAGCAAUGCCGCGUGAGUGAUGAAGGCCUUAGGGUUGUAAAGC